rnacentral:lncRNA from 1 species
AGUUUCGGGGGUCGUCCGAGCCUGCCGAGAGCAUCCAGGCUGGACUUGAACUCCUUCCUGGGCUGAAGUGAUCCUCCUGCCUCAGCGUCCUGAAUAGGUAGGACUACAACUGUGAGUCACUUUACUCAACCAGAAAUGGUGAAUGAUAAAAAAUGUUUAUAGAUCAUUGCUUCUAAAAAGACUAUAUCAGACACACUGUGGUACCCAAAACCAAAUGCUAGCUACUUUUUAACUCAAAAAUAAUUAGUCAGCUAAUGAUCUAUAUUUUGCUUUACAGUUUAACUUGACGAGUAGAAAAAUGUCAAGGUAUAAGACAAUGCAAAAUGUAGGGACAAAGAAGAAAACUUCCCCUUUCACCCUCUGAAGGUUUGCUGAAAAUGAACUGAAAAAGGCAGAGCAACAGGAGAAAAGGCAUGCGUUUAUUUUAACGUGCAUACCAUGGGGAACUGCAGAAGAGUAAUGGCCUAAUAACCCAGCAGGGUCCCGAUGCCGGUCUACCCUCUCUUCUUAGGGAAGGCGGGGAUGAGGUGUGUAGGAGUAAAUGACAAAAGCUCCUCUGAGCUCUGGGGGAGGUGUUGGGAAGGUGAGG